GCGAAGGUGGCGGAAUUGGUAGACGCGCUAGCUUCAGGUGUUAGUGUUCUUACAGACGUGGGGGUUCAAGUCCCCCCCCUCGCACCA
rnacentral:tRNA from 5 species